UGCUACCGAGGAAAGUGGCGGACGGGUGAGUAAUGUGUAGAGAAUCUGCCCUAGAGUGGGGGACAACAGCUGGAAACGGUUGCUAAUACCCCAUAUGAGCGUAUCUGAAAUGGUAUUCUUGAAAACUCCGGUGCUCUAGGAUGAGUCUGCAUCUGAUUAGCUAGUUGGGGGUGUAAUGGACCACCAAGGCGACGAUCAGUAGCUGGUUUGAGAGGAUGAUCAGCCACAAUGGGACUGAGACACGGCCCAUACUCCUACGGGAGGCAGCAGUAGGGAAUUUUGCGCAAUGGGCGAAAGCCUGACGCAGCAACGCCGCGUGAUUGAUAAAGCCCUUCGGGGUGUAAAGAUCUGUCAGUGGGGACGAAACUUGACGGUACCCACAGAGGAAGCACCGGCUAACUCCGUGCCAGCAGCCGCGGUAAUACGGAGGGUGCAAGCGUUAAUCGGAAUCACUGGGCGUAAAGCGCACGUAGGCGGCCUGGUAAGUCAGGGGUGAAAUCCCACAGCCCAACUGUGGAACUGCCUUUGAUACUGCCAGGCUUGAGUACCGGAGAGGGUGGCGGAAUUCCAGGUGUAGGAGUGAAAUCCGUAGAUAUCUGGAGGAACACCGGUGGCGAAGGCGGCCACCUGGACGGUAACUGACGCUGAGGUGCGAAAGCGUGGGUAGCAAACAGGAUUAGAUACCCUGGUAGUCCACGCUGUAAACGAUGGGUGCUGGGUGCUGGGAUGUAUGUCUCGGUGCCGUAGCUAACGCGAUAAGCACCCCGCCUGGGGAGUACGGCCGCAAGGCUGAAACUCAAAGAAAUUGACGGGGGCCCGCACAAGCGGUGGAGUAUGUGGUUUA
rnacentral:rRNA from 1 species